rnacentral:rRNA from 1 species
GACGAACGCUGGCGGCGUGCUUAACACAUGCAAGUCGAGCGGUAAGGCCCUUUCGGGGGUACACGAGCGGCGAACGGGUGAGUAACACGUGGGUGACCUGCCCUCAGCUCUGGGAUAAGCCUGGGAAACUGGGUCUAAUACCGGAUAUGACUCCAUGACGCAUGUUGUGGGGUGGAAAGCCUUGUGCGGCUGAGGAUGGGCCCGCGGCCUAUCAGCUUGUUGGUGGGGUGANGGCCUACCAAGGCGACGACGGGUAGCCGGCCUGAGAGGGCGACCGGGCCACACUGGGACUGAGACACGGCCCAGACUCCUACGGGAGGCAGCAGUGGGGAAUCUUGCGCAAUGGGCGAAAGCCUGACGCAGCGACGCCGCGUGAGGGAUGACGGCCUGGUGUAA